rnacentral:tRNA from 1 species
CGCGGGGUGGAGCAGUCUGGCAGCUCGUCGGGCUCAUAACCCGAAGGUCNNAUCCUGCCCCCGCUACCA